rnacentral:rRNA from 1 species
AUGAUCGGCAUCGCCUUCACCGGGUCAGGGAAGACUCUGGUGUUCGUGCUGCCCCUCAUCAUGGUGGCGCUGCAAGAGGAGAUGUUGAUGCCUAUUGUGCCUGGGGAGGGCCCGUUUGGCAUGAUCAUUUGCCCAUCACGGGAGCUGGCCAAGCAGACAUAUGAUGUCAUCGACAUGUUCCUCACUCCACUCAAGCAGGCUGGAUUCCCAGAAAUACGACCAUUGCUUUGCAUUGGGGGUAUAGACAUGAGGACACAACUCGAUGUGGUGAAGAAGGGCGUACAUAUUGUGGUGGCCACACCUGGACGGCUCAAGGAUCUUCUCGCCAAGAAGAAGAUGAACCUUGACAAUUGCAGGUAUUUAACUUUAGAUGAAGCUGAUAGGCUUGUUGAUCUUGGAUUUGAAGAUGACAUUCGGGAGGUUUUUGACCAUUUCAAGGCACAAAGGCAAACCCUUCUUUUUUCUGCCACUAUGCCCAAGAAGAUCCAGAACUUUGCAAAGAGCGCCCUCGUAAAGCCAGUUAUCGUCAAUGUUGGAAGAGCUGGAGCAGCAAAUCUUGAUGUCAUCCAAGAAGUUGAGUAUGUCAAGGAAGAUGCCAGAAUUAUAUAUCUCCUUGAAUGCCUUCAAAAGACUCCACCUCCUGUUCUUAUAUUUUGUGAAAACAAAGCUGAUGUUGACUACAUCCAUGAGUAUCUUCUUCUAAAGGGGGUGGAAGCUGUUGCAAUCCACGGAGGCAAAGAUCAGGAGGAGAGGCAAAACGCGAUUGAGUUCUUCAAGAAUGGAAAGAAGGAUGUUUUGGUGGCUACUGAUGUUGCCUCAAAGGGUCUUGAUUUCCCUGAUAUCCAGCACGUGAUUAACUAUGAUAUGCCUGCCGAAAUAGAGAACUAUGUCCACAGGAUUGGUCGAACUGGUCGAUGCGGGAAAACGGGAAUAGCAACCACGUUCAUCAACAAGAACCAGACAGAGACCACGCUUCUUGACCUCAAGCACCUGCUCAAGGAAGCGAAGCAAAGAAUACCACCAGUGCUUGCUGAGCUCGUUGACCCGCUGGAGGAUGCUGAAGCUAUUGCCAAGGAGAGUGGUGUCAAAGGAUGUGCAUUCUGUGGUGGGCUUGGGCAUCGUCUUGCUGACUGUCCAAAGCUGGAGCACCAGAAGUCCGUGGCGAUUGCCGGCUCCAGAAGAGAUUACUACGGCGGUGGAGGUUACCGUGGAGAAAUAUGA